UUGAUCUAUUUCUAGUGGCGGACGGGUGAGUAACGCGUGGGUAACCUGCCUUAUACAGGGGGAUAACAGUCAGAAAUGGCUGCUAAUACCGCAUAAGCGCACAGAGCUGCAUGGCUCAGUGUGAAAAACUCCGGUGGUAUAAGAUGGACCCGCGUUGGAUUAGCUGGUUGGUGGGGUAACGGCCCACCAAGGCGACGAUCCAUAGCCGGCCUGAGAGGGUGAACGGCCACAUUGGGACUGAGACACGGCCCAGACUCCCACGGGAGGCAGCAGUGGGGAAUAUUGCACAAUGGGGGAAACCCUGAUGCAGCGACGCCGCGUGAAGGAAGAAGUAUCUCGGUAUGUAAACUUCUAUCAGCAGGGAAGAUAGUGACGGUACCUGACUAAGAAGCCCCGGCUAACUACGUGCCAGCAGCCGCGGUAAUACGUAGGGGGCAAGCGUUAUCCGGAUUUACUGGGUGUAAAGGGAGCGUAGACGGUGUGGCAAGUCUGAUGUGAAAGGCAUGGGCUCAACCUGUGGACUGCAUUGGAAACUGUCAUACUUGAGUGCCGGAGGGGUAAGCGGAAUUCCUAGUGUAGCGGUGAAAUGCGUAGAUAUUAGGAGGAACACCAGUGGCGAAGGCGG
rnacentral:rRNA from 1 species